GACGAACGCUGGCGGCGUGCCUAAUACAUGCAAGUUGAGCGCUGAAGGCUGGUACUUGUGCCAACUGGGUGAGCAGCGAACGGGUGAGUAACGCGUGGGGAAUCUGCCUUUGAGCGGGGGACAACAUGGGGAAACGAAUGAUAAUACCGCAUAAAAACUUGAAACACAAGGUGGAAGGGUGAAAGAUGCAAGUGCAUCACGCAAAGACGAUCCCGCGGUGUGUUAGCUAGUUGGUGAGGUACAUGCGCAUCAAGGCGGUGAUAGAUAGCCGAACUGAGAGGGUGGUUGGCCACCCUGGGACGGUGACACGCCCCAAACGCCUUCGGGUGGCACCCGUAGGGCAUCGUCGGCCAUCGGCGGAAGUCUGAGCGAGCUACGCCGCGUGCGUGUAGAACGUUUUCGGGUCGUGAAUCUCUGUUGUUGGAGAAGAACGUUGGUUAGCGUGGAACGCUCAUCAAGUGACGGUAACUGCCCAGAAAGCACCGGCUAACUACGUG
rnacentral:rRNA from 1 species